UACGUAGGCAGCGAGCGUUGUUCGGAGUUACUGGGCGUAAAGAGUGCGUAGGCGGUUUUCUAAGUUUGGUGUGAAAUCUCCCGGCUUAACUGGGAGGGUGCGCCGAAGACUGGAAGGCUUGAGUAUGGGAGAGGUAAGCGGAAUUCCUGGUGUAGCGGUGAAAUGCGUAGAUAUCGGGAGGAACACCAGUGGCGAAGGCGGCGACCUGGGCCAAUAUUGACGCUGAGGUGCGAAAGCGUGGGGAGCAAACAGG
rnacentral:rRNA from 1 species